rnacentral:rRNA from 1 species
UACGUAGGGUGCGAGCGUUAAUCGGAAUUACUGGGCGUAAAGUGUGCGCAGGCGGCCAUGCAAGUCGAGUGUGAAAGCCCCCGAGCUUAACUUGGGAAUUGCGCUCGAAACUACGUGGCUGGAGUGUGGCAGAGGAAGGUGGAAUUCCACGUGUAGCGGUGAAAUGCGUAGAUAUCGGGAGGAACACCGGUGGCGAAGGCGGCCCCCCUGGUUGGAUACUGACGCUGAGACGCGAAAGCGUGGGGAGCAAACAGG